GCUUGUCUCAAAGAUUAAGCCAUGCAUGUCUAAGUAUAAAUAACUACACAGUAAAACUGCGAAUGGCUCAUUAAAACAGUUAUAGUUUAUUUGAUACAUUAAAUGGAUAACUGUAGAAAAACUAGAGCUAAUACAUGCCAAGGCCGCAAGGUCGUAUUUAUUAGAUAUUCCAAGUGGGUGAAUCAUAAUAACUUAGCAAAUCGCAGCCUCGCUGCGAUAAAUCAUUCAAGUUUCUGCCCUAUCAUGCUUUCGAUGGUAGUGUAUUGGACUACCAUGGCUCUCACGGGUAACGGGGAAUUAGGGUUCGAUUCCGGAGAAGGAGCCUGAGAAACGGCUACUACAUCUAAGGAAGGCAGCAGG
rnacentral:rRNA from 1 species